GUAGAGAUACAGCUUCCCUUCGGGGCAGAGUGACAGGUGGUGCAUGGUUGUCGUCAGCUCGUGUCGUGAGAUGUUGGGUUAAGUCCCGCAACGAGCGCAACCCCUGCCAUUAGUUGCUACGCAAGAGCACUCUAAUGGGACCGCUACCGACAAGGUGGAGGAAGGUGGGGACGACGUCAAUCAUCAUGCCCCUUAUGACCUGGGCUACGCACGUAAUACAAUGGCCGUUAACAACGGGAAGCUGUAUCUCUAC
rnacentral:rRNA from 1 species